CCUACGGGUGGCAGCAGUGAGGAAUAUUGGUCAAUGGGCGUAAGCCUGAACCAGCCAAGUCGCGUGAGGGAUGAAGGUUCUAUGGAUCGUAAACCUCUUUUAUAAGGGAAUAAAGUGUGGGACGUGUCCUAUUUUGUAUGUACCUGAUGAAUAAGGAUCGGCUAACUCCGUGCCAGCAGCCGCGGUAAUACGGAGGAUCCGAGCGUUAUCCGGAUUUAUUGGGUUUAAAGGGUGCGUAGGCGGGUUGUUAAGUCAGUUGUGAAAGUUUGCGGCUCAACCGUUAGAUUGCAGUUGAUACUGGCAGUCUUGAGUACAGUAGAGGUAGGCGGAAUGCGUGGUGUAGCGGUGAAAUGCAUAGAUAGCACGCAGAACUCCGAUUGCGAAGGCAGCAUGCUGG
rnacentral:rRNA from 1 species